rnacentral:snRNA from 1 species
UAUAUGGUAAGUUAGAUUGUGUU